ensembl:lncRNA
GAACAUCUGGCUGCUGCGCAGAAGUAAGACCCUAUACUCGUGAAUGGCAUCAGCGCUGCAGUUGACCAUUGCGAUCUCUUAAGGGCAAGGGAGGAAAUGAACGAGGAUGCAGAUGAAGAUAAGGCAUAAUCAGCUGAUACAUCUGGUACUCAAGAGGAAAGCUUUUCAGCCACAGCACCAGAUGUCGACCCACCCAGGACACAAGGUGACAUGUUUUUGAUGUAAAUGCUAUUUCCAUUAAAUAGGCACUAUGUAUGUAUGUAUGUAUGUAUGUAUACGUAUAUGUAUAAGACAAUUCUUUGUAGGUAUGUAUUGGUUUGACUCAUCAGGUUCAGUAGUUGUUACAUAGGCUAGCUACUGUAUGCUGCACAUAUUUGUCCCAACAUUUAAAAUAUGAUUAAUGUAGAACAUGGAGACACUUAAAAAUAUCAUUUUUUUCAUUUUCUAAGACUUCUAGCAAUUUUAUUGCUAUCAAAGCCUGUCACUUCAACUGACAUUUCUAUUUUUUUUUUAAUGGUAACAUAUAUAACAUAGGUUACUCUCGAAGAAAGAAAUCUGCGAGAUGCACUGUGAUCUCUCAGCAUCAGCAGUUCAUGAUACAGAUGAUGAGGCAAUAAAAUUAAUGGGUUCAAGACCAAAUCCAGCAAUCCGAGCAAAGGGAGGAGAGACUCCUUAGUGCUUUAAUUGAGAGCAAUGUCCGUUCCACCGAGCACAUUAUAUCAAUACUUGUUGAGGGAUUCCAAAGCACCCACAUCCAAUGUUUGCACCUCCUUCACUGCACCCCCCCACACUUUCAAGGGUAUCACACACAGCCAUCUAACUAUACCCUGCAUGGUUCUACUGUGUCAAACACAUCCACUGCUGAACAUGGGUCAGAAGAAGCAAAUGAAUAUGCUCGAUCAUAUACUCACCUGUGAGCAGCCUGCCAUUAGGUAGCAGAAAACCUGCUUAUGUAAAAUACUUUGUGAAUGCCUGUAUUGACUUGAGUUUAGAUGUGUUUGCCUACCUCAUAUUUGCCUGUGUUACAGGAAAGAAUGUGCCUUGUCUUUUGUUAUAUAAAUUUGUUAGUAAGUGAAACCUUUCAUUUUUUGAAAAAAAAUAACUAAAUAAAAAAAUUUAAAAAAUUCAUCCAUCCAGUUUCUGUCCAUCCUACAGGGUCAUGAGAUACCUGGAGCCAACCUAAGGGAGCAUGGGGCACAAGGCAGGGUACACCCUGGAUGGGGUUGAAAUGUUUUUUUUUAAUUAAACCUCUAUUUUUUGUAAAGUAAUAUUUACCAUAAGUGAGCAGAACUUGAAGAGGUCCCUUUCUUAUUAUCCUUUUUGUUGUGUCCUUUUUUGCACUUCAAACCUGUGUGCAGUGUUCCUGGAAUUAAGGCAUACAAAACCCAACAGAAACUUAAAGAAAUUGCCUAGUUCACAUUAAAAUAAAAAGUGCAGCACUUCUUCAUAAAAUAACUUCUUGAAUGCAGUUAACAUCACAGACUGGAGAUAAUAACGUUGAACAAAUACUAAGAAGUGUGACUUUCCAAGCUCCUCAAAGCAAGCAAAUAUGCUGAAUGUUAACCACUUGUGCCUAAUGUAUACUCCUCCAAAGGGGAAAUGUUGCUGCCAUGUAUGGUGAUAAUGCAUCUCUCAUGACAUAAGCAUCUGUGCUGGUUCUGUGGUGCACUGUGGGGCUGGGGUAAGGCUCUCUCCAUAACUGUUGCCUCCUCCAUCCAGCAUUGGGGGACCUUCUCCUUUUCUCGUUCACAAAAAUUGUGCAGUGCACAACAUGUAAUCAUGCAAGGUGAGAAAGUGAAGUGAAAAUAUCACUGCAUUUCAGGAGCACCCUCCACCUAGACUUCAGUCUCUCAAAAGCAAUCUCCACUGUUGUUCUUGUUGAGCUGAGGUGAACAUUGAACGACUCUUGUUCAGGUGUUAGGCCUAGAGACUGUGGGUAACACUUCAUCAGUCAGUCCAUGAGUGGAUAAGCUGGAUCUCCGAGGAGAAAGAAAUGCACAGGUUUCCCCUGAAUCACCCUCACUCCC